UACAGAGGGUGCGAGCGUUAAUCGGAAUUACUGGGCGUAAAGCGUGCGUAGACGGCUAUCUAAGUCGGGUGUGAAAGCCCCGGGCUCACCUGGGAAUUGCAUUCGAGACUGAAUAGCUAGGGUGCGGUAGAGGGAAGCGGAAUUUCCGGUGUAGCGGUGAAAUGCGUAGAUAAUCUGGAGGAACACCGGUGGCGAAGGCGGCAUCCUGGAC
rnacentral:rRNA from 1 species